rnacentral:rRNA from 1 species
GAUGAACGCUGGCGGCGUGCCUAAUACAUGCAAGUCGAGCGAACAGACGAGGCUCUUGCUCCUCUGACGUUAGCGGCGGACGGGUGAGUAACACGUGGAUAACCUACCUAUAAGACUGGGAUAACUUCGGGAAACCGGCGCUAAUACCGGAUAACAUGUUGAACCGCAUGGUUCAACAGUGAAAGACGGUCUUGCUGUCACUUAUAGAUGGAUCCGCGCCGCAUUAGCUAGUUGGUAAGGUAACGGCUUACCAAGGCAACGAUGCGUAGCCGACCGGAGAGGGUGAUCGGCCACACUGGAACUGAGACACGGUCCAGACGCCUACGGGAGGCAGCAGUAGGGAAUCUUCCGCAAUGGGCGAAAUCCUGACGGAGCAACGACGCGUGAGUGAAGAAGGUGUUCGGAUCGUAAAACUCUGUUAUUAGGGAAGAACAAAUGUGGAAGUAAAUAUGCACGGCUUGACGGUACCUAAUCAGAAAGCCACGGCUAACUACGUG